ensembl:snRNA U6 U6 spliceosomal RNA
GUGCGCACUUUGGCAGCACAUAUAUUAAAAUUGGAAUGAUACAGAAAAGGUUAGCAUGGCCCCUGCACAAGGAUGACACUCAAAUUCGUGAAGUGUUUCAUAUUUUU